GUUUGAUCCAGACUUUGCUUCUGACACAGUCAGAAGGCAGAAGGACAAAUCAGUGUUGCCUCCAGACUGAGCAUCCCUCCAGAAAUGUAGUGAGCUCCACUAAUUCAAGUGCUGCAAUCUGGGCCAGAGGAGGUAUUUGUUAGAGAAUGUUGUUUGCCACAGAAUGUAGGAGGCAGAGAAAGGCAAGAAAAGGCUGAAAUCUCAAAUCCAUUUAUAAUGGAAACAUCCUGCAUUUCCUGAAGUACUGAGUAGAUGCUACAAGAUAUAAUUCCUUCCUACCAAAAAUCUGAAGCUGUAAUUUUACCUUCAUCACAUAGAAUCAUGGGAGUAAUUAAAAACACUUUUACUAUGUCUUUUGCUGCAACAUAGUGAUUGUCUUGUUUUGAUGUAAGAUGAAAGUAGUUUUCUUGCAUAAUUUUCUGAAGGCAAAGAAUUUUCUUCUUUUACAUCCUAGUUUUGUAGGAAAGCAAAAUAAUGCUUGUUUGCACGGACAGAACUUGCAUAUAAUUUGAAAAAAAAACCUAGUAUUUUAUCAAUGAAAAUAUGGUACAAAUGAAAAUAUAUCUGCAUCUCAUAGAUUUCAAAGGCUGCAUUAAAUUAACAGUGAAGAUCUAUUUUUCCUUAUUGUAUGGGAACUGCUGAGUUACGGCCUGAACCUCUGAUUGAUCACCUGAGGCGAGCAAUGAGUCAGCCAGAGGAGCACAGGUGAAGGCAAUUCUCCUGUUCUGCCAGAAGACCUAUUUAAGAGCUGGCUACCAGGGGGGAAGGAUUUCUUCUGGAGAUCACCUCUGCUGGUGUUUUGUGAGUGAGCCCAGGAUAGGGGGAAUCCACCUCUCUUUGAGAAGAAAGAACUGUCUACGGUUUGUUCAGAGCACGCAGGGUCUGGACAAGAGGAAUGCAGAGGACUCUGGGCAGUCCCAUUGCUGAAGAAAAACUCUAAACAGACAUUCUUCAGGAUUCAGUUAUAGAGUAAAGCAAUAUCUGGACAAGGUGACUGACAGACCCUGGUCCCCCACUGGGGCAGGACUGACCUACAUGGAUAUUUCUCUGAGCAAGGAAGGAGACAUUUCCUAAAAAACUGUGUUCAAGAUCUGCUUUCAUUUGAACCUAUCCUGAAGUCAAAGAAGUUAAUGUGGCUUCAUCUGAGAGCAGAAUUUUGUCUAAAAUCUUCAUUACAUGCCAAUUCCACGAGGAUAAUUCAUAGUUAAGGCCUCUGAACACCUUUAAAAUAAUCCUCUUUUGCUUCAUAUAAUGAAUAGAAUAGAUAGGGAAUUGCUUUCCCAGACUUUCUGAGGAAAAUGAAGCAAUGUGUUAAAGUUUUAACAGCUUUUAUUUCUCUUUUCAGAUCUUAACCCAGUAUCAAAUAUUAAAGUCCUAGUAUAUUUAAGGAAAGCAGAAGUUGCUGUUAUAAUUAAUUUCCUAUCUGAGGGGAAAAAUAAAAGUAUUGCUAGCCCUUUUGGAAAGAAUGUAAGUAAUCCUUUAAAAGAAAAACAGAACAAAUGUGUACACAUGUACAAAAAUCUUUCUUUUUUCCCUUAAGCCUCAACUACAUUUGUUGUACUUUAACAAAAAGAUGUAAUUUGAUUUGAAAAUGCCAUGCCACAUUGAGAACAUGAAAGUGCAAAAUACAUUUAAAACAUAAAACUUCCAAAUUCCACAAUCUACAUAUACUCUAUGUGUUGGGAAACAGGCCGAGGAGUAAAAAUAUUUGCUGAUCACACAGAAAUUUCUACCAGAUCUCCACCUUGCUAAAUAAGUAUCUAAUUUCAGUCCAAGUAAGUGCAGGCUGUGAAGUUUAAUGCAAGUAAGCGGCCGAGAAAUACAUAAAGUAGUAGAAAAAGCUGACAUCAAAAUAUCUAAUCAGCUAUUUGCUUUUCUUUCAAAUACACCAGCUCAGUUGCAGACUUGUAGUGAUCACCUGGAAGAGCAUGCAGUGAUUUCAUGAAAUCAUACUGGAAGAGGAAAAGGAUGAUUUCACAGGUGGGCAAGAGAAACAUUUGUGAAGAAAUAUUUUCCCAUUUUUUGUCAUCAGAAGGGCUACCAUUUCAAGAGUUUGCCUCCUUAGGGAUCCCCCUUGAUAAAUGGAUACCAUGUUUGACAAAUGGCUCAUCUCCAUGCUCCAGGAAGGGGUGAAACAGGAUGAGCUCAGUGUAUUUGUUUGGGGUCCUGGGAACAAUGCACUCCUUUAUGAAGUUUGGGCUGGAGGUAUCCCUCAUGUGUUGCCAACAUCAAGCCCGAGGAUUGAGAUGGGCUGAUGGCUGAUGACUCAAUUUCUGCAACCACACACCCUCGCUUUCCUCAUCUAGCAAAGAUAUGUUGCAGGACGAAGAGUCUUUGAAUUAGAAAUCAUUGUUUGUUUGUCUUGAAGGAUAGAAUUUUGGAAUAAAUAACAAAUUCCAAAGAACAGAGCCAUCUCUUAUGUAUGCAUUAUAUGAAGAGCUUUAAAAUUAUGAUUAUGUUCCAGUUUGCUUAGACUUUCAAAAAGUCAAUGGAGACAUCUGGUGCUUUUGCAGCUAGAUGAGCACACAAAAAUACAGUAACAAUAGGAAAAAAAAAAAGGAGAAUAUCCAACAAUUAGGCCACAGCUGGAAGCAAAACGAUGUCUGACAUAACCAUGACAUACCAUGUCACCUGUUUUGAUGUACCCUUCUGUACACUGUAACCUUUUUUUUUUCCUCUCUCUUUUUCAACUUUAUCAAAGAUUCAUUUAAAAUACUAAUGUUCUUCACUCUAUUAUUUGAAGUUAAAAGAAACAUAUGGUGCUUUGCAACAAAAGAUAAUUAGAUUUCUUGUCUGCCUUCAGUAUUAUGGUUUUUAAUGCACUUUAAUGGAGUUUACAAAUAGAAUAGGCAAAAUUAAUGAUAGAAAAGGUUAAGAGGUUUGAAAUGAGAAUUUCUGAAUUUCUGGGUUUGUUUCCUGUCUUAUGGUCUAUCUACUGCAGCAUCCUGUGCUCCUUCACUUCUGCUUCAGAAGAAUGAUAAAUUUUUUGGUGCUGGAAAGAACAAAUCAGAACAGUAUCUUCCUCCUAAGCACUGCAGAUAACUGCAGCAUAGGACCUAGAGCACAAUGCUUUGUAGCCCUUUCAUUCUCUGUUCGAUGUUACAGUCAGCAUUCACUUCCAUCCACGCCAGAGAUUAAUCGUUACCUUGAAUACUUCUACGGUUGUCCUAAGUGUAAUGUCUGAAAUGAGUUCAGCAAAUUACAUAUGCAUGGUGCAAAAAUGAGUCCAUUUUAUUUUAUAUUUUUCCUUCUCAAAGUGAUGCUGACAAUGUGACUGAGUAAUAAUUUAUAGUAAGAUCAUAAGAACUGUAAAUAAUCUGAUCUGUUGGCAUACUUCGCACAUACAAUGUGUAGAGAUCUUGAUGCAUCCUUUUCAACUCAUAGGAGGACUUGAGUGAGAAUGGUUUGAUGCAAGAUGUGAAACCAUUGCUUGUGCAUCUGCUGUGCUCACUUCAGUCUGAACAGAAAGGAAACCUGCAUGUGAGGAGAAGAAAGUAAAAUUCUCCACAAACUUACUAAAACUAAAUCGUGGUGAUGUUUUUACAUAUGACAUAUAUUUUUGGGAAA